rnacentral:lncRNA from 1 species
GCACCCCAGCCUGGGCAACAGAGUGAGACUCUGUCUCACUCUGUUGCACAGUUUACAACAACAAAACUAUAGCAUCCAUCACAUAGAGGAGAGACUCCCCAACACACAUAUAAGGAUUACUCUCAGCCCCAGCUCCCUCAAACUUCCUAAGAUCAGCACUGGUAUCUGAUGGUGGCUCCUUGUAAAUCAAACUUAAUGGAGUAUGUGUUAUUUGGUUUAUGUUUAUGUGCAGCCUGCAUAACAACCACUCUGUCAACAUCAUGCAUAUGUUCAUUGUGUUGGUACUAGAAGACUCUAUGACACACACAAGCUGAUGUCAUCUGAUGGGUCUAUUUUAUCUACUUGGCUGUGCAAAUCCUCUUCUGUAGUAUAUGCUUUCUGGUGGACACUAAUAUGGAACACAAAGAUCUUCUCACAUUGCAGCUGCUCCCAUAUAUCCAUUGAUAUAUGCCUCUAACUCCAGACCUUUUUGUCCUUAAUCUUCUAAUCCGGUUAUCUCUUUUCCUUUAGUGCAAUUUUUCCUUAUUUGUUUGUUUUGUUUUUUUUUUUAAGUAAAUAGCUAGGCUUCUAAGCCCUACCACAGAGAGUCAACAGACAAACUGCCCAGGGAAAAGUUAUGACCUCAGGCAAAGUGAAUUUCUACAGCUAAGGCAGAUCCUGAAGAAGCUCACAAAUAAAGGCUGCAUACUCACACAUUCCCUGAAGCUUGACAGUGCCAGCCACCAUACUGUGAGGGAGCUGAAGUAAGCCCACAUGAGGAAGAAUUGAGGUCCCAAGCCAACAGCUGCAGCUAAGAUCCAAGCUCUCAACCAGUACCAGUUCAUCCGUUAUGCACACUAAGAUAUGGAAGCUAAAAGAGGACUAAGAGGAUUCUGGGGAUAUUACAAGAUAUUGCAGACUAUCUUGUUUUCCUGGAAAAGGAUUUUACCUCAGUCGACUGAAUUACUUUUUUCACUGUGUCUUGCCACUCUUCGUGCAUGCAUCAAAGACCCUAAUAUGACUUCUGGUGGCCUGGGACUCCUUGGGAAAACAGAAAAGGGGCCACAAAUCCCAUUUUGGGAACAAUCUGUUUUACUCAUGGAACCCCUGGAAUUAGAGCAAAAACUGAUCUAUGGCAGUUUUGCAGAAGAGAAUGGAAAGAAGUUUGGAGCUGCUCAAGGGCUACAAAUGCCAUGCUAGGAAGUUCACUUCAUCCUUUGGGAAGAUAAUGGAGAUGCAACAGAACUUUUAUGUAUAUUCAUAUAUUUUAAUAUAUUA